GGGUUGUGAGGUUAAGCGACUAAGCGUACACGGUGGAUGCCCUGGCAGUCAGAGGCGAUGAAGGACGUGCUAAUCUGCGAUAAGCGUCGGUAAGGUGAUAUGAACCGUUAUAACCGGCGAUUUCCGAAUGGGGAAACCCAGUGUGUUUCGACACACUAUCAUUAACUGAAUCCAUAGGUUAAUGAGGCGAACCGGGGGAACUGAAACAUCUAAGUACCCCGAGGAAAAGAAAUCAACCGAGAUUCCCCCAGUAGCGGCGAGCGAACGGGGAGCAGCCCAGAGCCUGAAUCAGUGUGUGUGUUAGUGGAAGCGUCUGGAAAGGCGCGCGAUACAGGGUGACAGCCCCGUACACAAAAAUGCACAUGCUGUGAGCUCGAUGAGUAGGGCGGGACACGUGGUAUCCUGUCUGAAUAUGGGGGGACCAUCCUCCAAGGCUAAAUACUCCUGACUGACCGAUAGUGAACCAGUACCGUGAGGGAAAGGCGAAAAGAACCCCGGCGAGGGGAGUGAAAAAGAACCUGAAACCGUGUACGUACAAGCAGUGGGAGCCUCUUUAUGGGGUGACUGCGUACCUUUUGUAUAAUGGGUCAGCGACUUAUAUUCUGUAGCAAGGUUAACCGAAUAGGGGAGCCGAAGGGAAACCGAGUCUUAACUGGGCGUUAAGUUGCAGGGUAUAGACCCGAAACCCGGUGAUCUAGCCAUGGGCAGGUUGAAGGUUGGGUAACACUAACUGGAGGACCGAACCGACUAAUGUUGAAAAAUUAGCGGAUGACUUGUGGCUGGGGGUGAAAGGCCAAUCAAACCGGGAGAUAGCUGGUUCUCCCCGAAAGCUAUUUAGGUAGCGCCUCGUGAAUUCAUCUCCGGGGGUAGAGCACUGUUUCGGCAAGGGGGUCAUCCCGACUUACCAACCCGAUGCAAACUGCGAAUACCGGAGAAUGUUAUCACGGGAGACACACGGCGGGUGCUAACGUCCGUCGUGAAGAGGGAAACAACCCAGACCGCCAGCUAAGGUCCCAAAGUCAUGGUUAAGUGGGAAACGAUGUGGGAAGGCCCAGACAGCCAGGAUGUUGGCUUAGAAGCAGCCAUCAUUUAAAGAAAGCGUAAUAGCUCACUGGUCGAGUCGGCCUGCGCGGAAGAUGUAACGGGGCUAAACCAUGCACCGAAGCUGCGGCAGCGACACUAUGUGUUGUUGGGUAGGGGAGCGUUCUGUAAGCCUGUGAAGGUGUACUGUGAGGUAUGCUGGAGGUAUCAGAAGUGCGAAUGCUGACAUAAGUAACGAUAAAGCGGGUGAAAAGCCCGCUCGCCGGAAGACCAAGGGUUCCUGUCCAACGUUAAUCGGGGCAGGGUGAGUCGACCCCUAAGGCGAGGCCGAAAGGCGUAGUCGAUGGGAAACAGGUUAAUAUUCCUGUACUUGGUGUUACUGCGAAGGGGGGACGGAGAAGGCUAUGUUGGCCGGGCGACGGUUGUCCCGGUUUAAGCGUGUAGGCUGGUUUUCCAGGCAAAUCCGGAAAAUCAAGGCUGAGGCGUGAUGACGAGGCACUACGGUGCUGAAGCAACAAAUGCCCUGCUUCCAGGAAAAGCCUCUAAGCAUCAGGUAACAUCAAAUCGUACCCCAAACCGACACAGGUGGUCAGGUAGAGAAUACCAAGGCGCUUGAGAGAACUCGGGUGAAGGAACUAGGCAAAAUGGUGCCGUAACUUCGGGAGAAGGCACGCUGAUAUGUAGGUGAAGCGACUUGCUCGUGGAGCUGAAAUCAGUCGAAGAUACCAGCUGGCUGCAACUGUUUAUUAAAAACACAGCACUGUGCAAACACGAAAGUGGACGUAUACGGUGUGACGCCUGCCCGGUGCCGGAAGGUUAAUUGAUGGGGUUAGCGGUAACGCGAAGCUCUUGAUCGAAGCCCCGGUAAACGGCGGCCGUAACUAUAACGGUCCUAAGGUAGCGAAAUUCCUUGUCGGGUAAGUUCCGACCUGCACGAAUGGCGUAAUGAUGGCCAGGCUGUCUCCACCCGAGACUCAGUGAAAUUGAACUCGCUGUGAAGAUGCAGUGUACCCGCGGCAAGACGGAAAGACCCCGUGAACCUUUACUAUAGCUUGACACUGAACAUUGAGCCUUGAUGUGUAGGAUAGGUGGGAGGCUUUGAAGUGUGGACGCCAGUCUGCAUGGAGCCGGCCUUGAAAUACCACCCUUUAAUGUUUGAUGUUCUAACGUUGGCCCCUGAUCGGGGUUGCGGACAGUGUCUGGUGGGUAGUUUGACUGGGGCGGUCUCCUCCUAAAGAGUAACGGAGGAGCACGAAGGUUGGCUAAUCCUGGUCGGACAUCAGGAGGUUAGUGCAAUGGCAUAAGCCAGCUUGACUGCGAGCGUGACGGCGCGAGCAGGUGCGAAAGCAGGUCAUAGUGAUCCGGUGGUUCUGAAUGGAAGGGCCAUCGCUCAACGGAUAAAAGGUACUCCGGGGAUAACAGGCUGAUACCGCCCAAGAGUUCAUAUCGACGGCGGUGUUUGGCACCUCGAUGUCGGCUCAUCACAUCCUGGGGCUGAAGUAGGUCCCAAGGGUAUGGCUGUUCGCCAUUUAAAGUGGUACGCGAGCUGGGUUUAGAACGUCGUGAGACAGUUCGGUCCCUAUCUGCCGUGGGCGCUGGAGAACUGAGGGGGGCUGCUCCUAGUACGAGAGGACCGGAGUGGACGCAUCACUGGUGUUCGGGUUGUCAUGCCAAUGGCACUGCCCGGUAGCUAAAUGCGGAAGAGAUAAGUGCUGAAAGCAUCUAAGCACGAAACUUGCCCCGAGAUGAGUUCUCCCUGAGACUUAGAGUCUCCUGAAGGAACGUUGAAGACGACGACGUUGAUAGGCCGGGUGUGUAAGCGCAGCGAUGCGUUGAGCUAACCGGUACUAAUGAACCGUGAGGCUUAACCUUACAACGCCGAAG
rnacentral:rRNA from 1 species